GAGAGCUUGCCACCUAGACUUCAU
rnacentral:siRNA from 1 species